rnacentral:sRNA from 1 species
CAGAGGCAGAGGAGGGAGCGAGGAGGUGAGACCCGCUCCACCCUGCUCGCCUAGGCUCGGCGGAGGCUAAGAGCAGGGCAGCCUCCUCUGUCCGGCGCCCGCUGAGCCCCGGCAUCUGGAACUCAGGGCCCUGGCGCUCCAGGGACGGGAACUGGCCGGGAAGACCGCGCGGGAGAGCACGGAUGGGCACCCUGGGCUCGAUCUUCUCACCUGGGGCGGGUGGGUGCUGCACUACCCUCUCACCCUCCUUCCUCCGUGUGGACGACAGAGCCACAUCCAGCACCACGGACAGCUCCCGGGCGAUCCCAUGGGAGUAGAAGAGGUGUGAGCAGGUUGCCCAGCUGGUUAGCGGAAAUGCCAAGAUUCAGGCUCCUGAAUUUCAGCCUGGCCCUUUUUAUCUGUCUGAUACCUCCUUUAGGAGUCUCUCUGCCUGAGUUGGGUGGAGCGGGCCUGCUGCUGUUUGGGGGAGUGUGCAGGUUGCCCAUAUGCAAAAAAGGACAGGAUGCAUGACUGGGCAUGUGAGGUGUUCAGGAAAACCAGGAAAAGGUGGAACAGACUGCUACCUCUGUCUGAAGUUGUUUGGAGGGAAGGCCUCUGGGACAGGGCAUACCUAGCAGUAGCUGGCAAGCCCAUGGGAGAAAAGGCAAGGGGGCAACCAUCUGCCAGGACACAGAGGCCAGUGGAUG